rfam:Hylemonella gracilis ATCC 19624 Contig33, whole genome shotgun sequence.
CCCAAGAGUAGAAGCGUUCAGCGCAGGCCCAGCCAGCGCCCGGAAAUUGCUCUGGAA